CACAACACUCUCAUCAGUACGAAGAAAAGGGAAGGGGCAAAAAAAUAAAAAAAGCAAAAAAAAGGGAAAAAAAAACCCUCAUUCCCAUUAAAAUCCCCAGUUUAUUCCCCCCCUCUUCACUCGUUCUAGGGUUUCACGCCUUCGAUCCGAGCGCCGUUCUCGAGAUUCUAGGGUUUUCACCGCCACUUUCGGCAAUGUCUCGCAGCAAUUCAUGGAUUCUCCUCGAUUUUGGAGCGAAACCCUAGUUUCAGUUAGUCCGUCGGUUUCCUAGGGCGUCGAGCUAAUCCAACUGCAGUUGGUUUUUUUUUAAAAUAGGGCAUUAGGGCGACAAAUCUAAAGCUUUUUCUUUUGAAAGAUUCUGGUGAUGGCGACGGGAUCGAACUGUGACCGUCCGAUUGGACCUCGCACCAACUUACAUUGCCAUCGAAAUCAAGGAAAAGUUUGGAGCAGGUAAAGUGGAGAUCUGUGCUUAAAAGAGCCCCUUUUUGUUGGGUUUCGUUGCUUGUUUGAUACGAUGUCGGGAGCUCCGAAGCUGCGAUCGAUGAACGUGGCCGAGUCGGAGGCGAGGCCGGUGCUUGUGCCGGCGGGGAACAAGGCUAGGUCGCCGGCGAGCGGGAAAAAGCCGGCGGCCUCGAAGAAUUUGGGCAAAGUGGAGGUAAUUGACGAGGAGAAGAAGAAGAAAGGUUCGAAUUUGGGCGCAGAUCCGAAGAGUUCGAAUGGGAGUUAUAGUGCCGCUUCGAUUUUGAGGAGGCAGGAGUGGUUGCUGAAAUCGAAUUUGUCGCUGAAUGCUUCGUGUUCUUCGGAUGCUUCGACUGAUUCGUUUGUUAGCCGGGCGUCGACUGGGAGGAUCGGGAGAGCAGGGUUUAGUGGUAGGAGGAGGCAGAGUUCUCCGAGACCCGAGAAAAUUGCGGCGAGAAUUAUUCCUAACAUGGAAUCUGUGAAUUUGGCGGAGCCGGGGCAAGGGGAUGGAAAGAGGAGGUGCAGCUGGGUGACGUCAAAUACCGAUCCAUGCUAUGCUGCUUUUCACGAUGAAGAAUGGGGAGUUCCUGUCCAUGAUGAUAAGAAACUGUUUGAGUUACUUGUACUCUCCAGUGCAUUGGCUGAGCUUACAUGGCCAGCAAUCCUCAGCAAAAGGAACAUAUUCAGGGAAGUGUUCAUGGAUUUUGAUCCUGUGCUGGUUGCUAAAUUGAAUGAGAAGAAGAUUAUAGCACAAGGAAGCACUGCCAGUUCAUUGUUAUCUGAAGCAAAGCUCCGCGCUGUCAUUGAAAAUGCACUUCAGGUUCUUAAGAUCAUAGAGGAAUUUGGAUCAUUUGACAAAUAUUGCUGGAGCUUUGUGAACCAAAAGCCAAUCAUCACCAGAUUCCGCUACUCUCGCCAGGUUCCUGUUAAAACCCCUAAAGCUGAUACGAUCAGCAAAGACCUAAUGAGAAGGGGGUUUCGAAGCGUGGGACCUACAGUCAUUUAUUCCUUCAUGCAGGCAGCCGGCAUAACCAACGACCACCUGAUCAGCUGCUACCGCUUUGAAGAAUGCGCCUCAGCAGCAGAAAGAGCAGACGAUCAAGUUCAAGCUAGUAAUAACAAGUGCACCGUUGGAGGAGGUGAAGGAAAAGGCGUUACGGUUUGUGAAGAGAUGAGUAUUAUUGGCUUGGAGUUUGCUAGAGCUGUGGAUGAUACGAGUAUACUACCACCCCCUUCAUAGCAUUAGGAGGUGCUGCUAGGUUUUAGGCGUGUGGUUUUGGGUGCCUACCAUCUGUAUGUGCGCUGUUGACAAAGAGGGAACAGCAGUUAGGUGGCUGUGGCCCUGCACCUAAUGAUUGCUACAACCAUAAAAUUUGUCUCCUUCGUUUCUCAUUAUUCUGCCCUGCGUGUUCUUUUCUAUUUUGACUUCUCUUUUGAGUGCA